UACGGAGGGUGCAAGCGUUAUCCGGAUUCACUGGGUUUAAAGGGUGCGUAGGCGGGUAAGUAAGUCCGUGGUGAAAUCUCUGAGCUUAACUCAGAAACUGCCGUGGAUACUAUUUGCCUUGAAUAUUGUGGAGGUGAGCGGAAUAUGUCAUGUAGCGAUGAAAUGCUUAGAUAUGACAUAGAACACCAAUUGCGAAGGCAGCUCACUACUCAAUCAUUGACGCUGAGGCACGAAAGCGUGGGGAUCAAACAGG
rnacentral:rRNA from 1 species